AUAACGUAGGGAAACUUACGCUAAUACCGCAUACGACCUACGGGUGAAAGCAGGGGAUCUUCGGACCCUUGCGCGAUUGAAUGAGCCGAUGUCGGAUUAGCUAGUUGGCGGGGUAAAGGCCCACCAAGGCGACGAUCCGUAGCUGGUCUGAGAGGAUGAUCAGCCACACUGGAACUGAGACACGGUCCAGACUCCUACGGGAGGCAGCAGUGGGGAAUAUUGGACAAUGGGCGCAAGCCUGAUCCAGCCAUACCGCGUGGGUGAAGAAGGCCUUCGGGUUGUAAAGCCCUUUUGUUGGGAAAGAAAUCCAGCUGGUUAAUACCCGGUUGGGAUGACGGUACCCAAAGAAUAAGCACCGGCUAACUUCGUGCCAGCAGCCGCGGUAAUACGAAGGGUGCAAGCGUUACUCGGAAUUACUGGGCGUAAAGCGUGCGUAGGUGGUCGUUUAAGUCCGUUGUGAAAGCCCUGGGCUCAACCUGGGAACUGCAGUGGAUACUGGGCGACUAGAAUGUGGUAGAGGGUAGCGGAAUUCCUGGUGUAGCAGUGAAAUGCGUAGAGAUCAGGAGGAACAUCCAUGGCGAAGGCAGCUACCUGGACCAGACAUUGACACUGAGGCACGAAAGCGUGGGGAGCAAA
rnacentral:rRNA from 1 species